rnacentral:rRNA from 1 species
GACGAACCGAGCGAACGUUGUUCGGAAUCACUGGGCUUAAAGGGCGCGUAGGCGGGCUGUCAAGUUUGGGGUGAAAUCCCACGGCUCAACCGUGGAACUGCCUCAAAUGCUGACGGUCUCGAGGGAGGUAGGGGCGAGCGGAACUGAUGGUGGAGCGGUGAAAUGCGUUGAUAUCAUCAGGAACUCCGGUGGCGAAGGCGGCUCGCUGGACCUCUUCUGACGCUGAGGCGCGAAAGCUAGGGGAGCAAACGGG